AUUGAACGCUGGCGGCAUGCCUAACACAUGCAAGUCGAACGAGUGGCGGACGGGUGAGUAAUGUGUGGGAAAGUGCCUGGUGGAGGGGGAUAACUACUGGAAAGGGUAGCUAAUACCGCAUAAUAUUAGAUGUGCCGAGAUGGGUUUAGCUUGUUGGGGGGGUAAGGGCUCACCAAGGCGACGAUCCAUAGCUGGUCUGAGAGGAUGACCAGCCACACUGGAACUGAGACACGGCCCAGACUCCUACGGGAGGCAGCAGUGGGGAAUAUUGCACAAUGGGCGCAAGCCUGAUGCAGCCAUGCCGCGUGUAUGAAGAAGGCCUUCGGGUUGUAAAGUACUUUCAGCGGGGAGGCGUUACCCGCAGAAGAAGCACCGGCUAACUCCGUGCCAGCAGCCGCGGUAAUUC
rnacentral:rRNA from 1 species